rnacentral:lncRNA from 1 species
AUUUUAACCUUUGUGAUUUGAGCUUAACUGAUAAGUCUUUAGAAGAAGAUAGGCGAAAGAUACCAGAGGGAUAUUUGAUUUUAUAAGUAGAAAAUAAACUAACAACGCCAGGGCCAAGAUAGAAAAGAAAAAACUGUCAAAUAAUAGUACACACGACACAACAUCGAAAACAAAAAAUAAGCAACAGGAACCCCACCAAAUCGUGAUGGCGUCCGUAAAAUUUACGAAGGGAUGAUUUCAACUUCAUCAUUUGGAACUCUUGAUUUAAUAGCUUCCUUGUGAGCAGUAACCCUUUUUAAAGGAAAUCAUAAUAGGGAAUAUCGUAUCAUUGGGAGAUAUUUGUAUGUAAGACCC